CAGCAGUAGCCGCGGGAAUACAGAGGGUGCGAGCGUUAAUCGGAUUUACUGGGCGUAAAGCGUGCGUAGGCGGCUUUUUAAGUCGGAUGUGAAAUCCCUGAGCUUAACUUAGGAAUUGCAUUCGAUACUGGGAAGCUAGAGUAUGGGAGAGGAUGGUAGAAUUCCAGGUGUAGCGGUGAAAUGCGUAGAGAUCUGGAGGAAUACCGAUGGCGAAGGCAGCCAUCUGGCCUAAUACUGACGCUGAGGUACGAAAGCAUGGGGAGCAAACAGGAUUAGAGACCCGCGUAGUCCCUGUCUCUUAUAC
rnacentral:rRNA from 1 species